GGAAGUUGUUAUUUGAUUGUUCACAAAAGUUUUAUCAACUACUUGCAGAAAACAGCAUUUUCAUCAUAUCUCUGUUGCUGCGAUAAUCGAAGAAAGUUAAGGCAUAAUUUAACUGGAUAGCCCAGCCUCCAUCAAAAGAAGCAAAGGACACUCUUUCAAACAACUUGAGCUGAUUCGUAAAGAAGACAAAAAGAUCACGAAUCUUCUUCAAAUGCCAGUGGUUCCUAUUUUGCUUCUUCUUCUUGUUCCCACAUAUUUCGUGAUGAGCAUGGUAAGUAUCCCGGACGCCGAGACAGACAUCUCAAAGUGGGCCAAUCUGAACUCCAAAGAGGAGCAUGCAAUACUUCUCAAUCCAAAAGCUCUACAAUUCAAACGACACCAUAAACAAAGCAAUUCCAGAUGUCUUGAUAACGAGGACAUAGAGGAGGGGGACGGUGGCAAUGAGGACGACACCAAAAGAAGGAGUUGCGGGACCCGGCACUCCCACUGUUCCAGUUCAUUGCCAUGCUGUGGGUCACUGCAGUGCAAAUAUGUUAUCCCUUUCUCAACUUCCAAACUCUGCACCACAUCCCCAUAAAACCAAAAAAAAACUAUAGCAAUCACUUUCGAUUUUAUCACAUAUCCUAAUCAAUAAAUA